GCGGGCGUGGCGGAAUUGGUAGACGCGCUAGAUUUAGGUUCUAGUAGCUUUUAGCUGUGUGGGUUCAAGUCCCUCCGCCCGUACCA
rnacentral:tRNA from 1 species